rnacentral:rRNA from 1 species
UAGGGGAUCUUCCACAAUGGGCGAAAGCCUGAUGGAGCAACGCCGCGUGUGUGAUGAAGGGUUUCGGCUCGUAAAACACUGUUGUAAGAGAAGAAUGACUUAUUGAGAGUAACUGUUCAAUGUGUGACGGUAUCUUACCAGAAAGGAACGGCUAAAUACGUUCCAG